rnacentral:rRNA from 1 species
AGCCAGACUCCUACGGGAGGCAGCAGUGGGGAAUAUUGCACAAUGGGGGAAACCCUGAUGCAGUGACGCCGCGUGAGCGAUGAAGUAUUUCGGUAUGUAAAGCUCUAUCAGCAGGGAAGAAGAUGACGGUACCUGACUAAGAAGCCCCGGCUAACUACGUGCCAGCAGCCGCGGUAAUACGUAGGGGGCAAGCGUUAUCCGGAUUUACUGGGUGUAAAGGGAGCGUAGACGGCGAUGCAAGCCAGAUGUGAAAGCCCGGGGCUCAACCCCGGGACUGCAUUUGGAACUGUGUGGCUGGAGUGUCGGAGAGGCAGGCGGAAUUCCUAGUGUAGCGGUGAAAUGCGUAGAUAUUAGGAGGAACACCAGUGGCGAAGGCGGCCUGCUGGACGAUGACUGACGUUGAGGCUCGAAAGCGUGGGGAGCAAACAGGAUUAGAUACCCGAGUA